GGAGGAGUGGCCGAGUGGCUGAAGGCACCGGUCUUGAAAACCGGCAACGGGAAACCGUUCCAGAGUUCGAAUCUCUGCUCCUCCACCA
rnacentral:tRNA from 1 species